rnacentral:rRNA from 1 species
GUAAACGGCGGCCGUAACUAUAACGGUCCUAAGGUAGCGAAAUUCCUUGUCGGGUAAGUUCCGACCUGCACGAAUGGUGUAACGAUCUGGGCACUGUCUCAGCCAUGAGCUCGGUGAAAUUGUAGUAUCGGUGAAGAUGCCGAUUACCCGCAACGGGACGGAAAGACCCCGUGAACCUUCACUACAACUUAACAUUGAUUUUGGGUAAAUAAUGUGUAGAAUAGGUGGGAGACUUUGAAGCAGCUUCGCUAGGAGUUGUGGAGUCAUAAUGUGAAAUACCACCCUUUAUUUAUCUGAACUCUAAUUCCUAUAUGGAAAACAGUGUUUGGUGGGUAGUUUGACUGGGGUGGUCGCCUCCAAAAGAGUAACGGAGGCUUCCAAAGGUACCCUCAGCACGCUUGGUAACCGUGCGUAGAGUGUAAUGGCAUAAGGGUGCUUAACUGUAAGACCUACAAGUCGAGCAGAGACGAAAGUCGGGCAUAGUGAUCCGGUGGUUCCGUAUGGAAGGGCCAUCGCUCAAAGGAUAAAAGGUACUCCGGGGAUAACAGGCUGAUCACUCCCAAGAGCUCAUAUCGACGGAGUGGUUUGGCACCUCGAUGUCGGCUCGUCACAUCCUGGGGCUGGAGAAGGUCCCAAGGGUUGGGCUGUUCGCCCAUUAAAGUGGCACGCGAGCUGGGUUCAGAACGUCGCGAGACAGUUCGGUCCCUAUCUGUUGUGGGCGUUAGAAAUUUGAGAGAACCUGUUCCUAGUACGAGAGGACCGGAAUGGACGAACCUCUAGUGUACCUGUUGUGGCGCCAGCUGCAUUGCAGGGUAGCUACGUUCGGAUGAGAUAAGCGCUGAAAGCAUCUAAGCACGAAACUCAUCUCAAGAUUAGAUUUCUUUUAAGGGUCGUUAUAGACGAUGACGUUGAUAGGUCACAAGUGUAAGUGUAGAAAUACAUUUAGCUGAGUGAUACUAAUUACCCGUAGACUUUGAUUUA